GGGCAUAGCUUAGAGGUAGAGCACUUGCCUAUCAUUUGCAAGGCCCUGAGUUCAAUUUCCAGUAGCACA
rnacentral:tRNA from 1 species